rnacentral:rRNA from 1 species
CCUGAGAAACCCAAAAGAUCGAAUGGGGAGAUUCACCGUCAGCGGCGUUGGCUUCCGUGCGGCUCGCGAUGGUCGGGACUUCGGUCUCGCGCCACGCGGUCGCCGCGGCAUGUCCGGCGUCGUCGGCGUGCACUUCUCCCCUAGUAGGACGUCGCGACCCGUUGGGUGUCGGAUCAAUGGCCGGUCGGUCGUCUGUUGUGUCGUCUUCGCGGUCGACGCGGCAGACCGAUCGGUUCAACGUCCGACUGCCCGGCGGUAUAGAACGCUUAAUCACGGUACUGGGCCGCAACUCGAAUGCGUUCAGGCUCGACGGCAGGCUCGUCUCGCUCGGAUUUACGGACCUAGCGCCGUUGCCGGGCGCUUGGCGUGGCCGUUAGUCGUCGAUGUCCUCGGACUGGCUCUUACCGGUCUGCGACGCUACUGCUUUGGGUACUUUC